UACGUAGGGGGCUAGCGUUGUCCGGAAUCAUUGGGCGUAAAGAGCGUGUAGGCGGCCCGGUAAGUCCGCUGUGAAAGUCGGAGGCUCAACCCUCGAAUGCCGGUGGAUACUGUCGGGCUAGAGUGCGGAAGAGGCGAGUGGAAUUCCUGGUGUAGCGGUGAAAUGCGCAGAUAUCAGGAGGAACACCGAUUGCGAAGGCAGCUCGCUGGGACGUCACUGACGCUGAGACGCGAAAGCGUGGGGAGCAAACAGG
rnacentral:rRNA from 1 species